CAGCAGCCACGGGAAUACGUAGGGUGCAAGCGUUAAUCGGAAUUACUGGGCGUAAAGCGUGCGCAGGCGGUUCGCUAAGACAGAUGUGAAAUCCCCAGGCUUAACCUGGGAACUGCAUUUGUGACUGGCGGGCUAGAGUAUGGCAGAGGGGGGUAGAAUUCCACGUGUAACAGUGAAAUGCGUAGAGAUGUGGAGGAAUACCGAUGGCGAAGGCAGCCCCCUGGGCCAAUACUGACGCUCAUGCACGAAAGCGUGGGGAGCAAACAGGAUUAGAUACCCCCGUAGUCCCUGUCUCUUAUAC
rnacentral:rRNA from 1 species